AAUAUUGCACAAUGGGCGAAAGCCUGAUGCAGCGACGCUGCGUGAGGGAUGACGGCCUUCGGGUUGUAAACCUCUUUUAGUAAGGAAGAAGAGAAAGUGACGGUACUUGCAGAAGAAGCCCCGGAUAACCACGUCCCCGCAGCCGCGGUGAUACGUAGGGCGCAAGCGUUGUCGGAAUUUAUGGGGCGUAAAGAGCGCGUGGGGGGUGAGUCGCGUCUGCUGUGAAAACUCGGGGCUUAACCUCGAGCUUGCAGUGGGUACGGGCUGACUAGAGUGCGGUAGGGGAGACUGGAAUUCCUGGUGUAGCGGUGGAAUGCGCAGAUAUCAGGAGAAACACCGAUGGCGAAGGCAGGUCUCUGGGCCGUAACUGACACUGAGGAGCGAAAGCGUGGGUAGCGAACA
rnacentral:rRNA from 1 species